GAUGAACGCUGGCGGCGUGCCUAAUACAUGCAAGUCGAGCGAACAGACGAGGAGCUUGCUCCUCUGACGUUAGCGGCGGACGGGUGAGUAACACGUGGAUAACCUACCUAUAAGACUGGGAUAACUUCGGGAAACCGGAGCUAAUACCGUAUAAUAUCUUGAACCGCAUGGUUCAAUAGUGAAAGACGGUUUUGCUGUCACUUAUAGAUGGAUCCGCGCCGCAUUAGAUAGUUGGUAAGGUAACGGCGUACCAAGGCAACGAUGCGUAGCCGACCUGAGAGGGGGAUAGGCCACACGGGAACUGAGACACGGUCCAGACUCCUAAGGGAGGCAGCAGUAGGGAAUCUUACGCAAUGGGCGAAAGCCUGACGGAGCAACGCCGCGUGAGUGAUGAAGGUCUUCGGAUCGUAAAAAUCUGUUAUUAGGGAAGAACAAAUGUGUAAGUAACUAUGCACGUCUUGACGGUACCUAAUCAGAAAGCCACGGCUAACUACGUG
rnacentral:rRNA from 1 species